UGAGGAAGUAAAAGUCGUAACAAGGUCUCCGUUGGUGAACCAGCGGAGGGAUCAUUACAGAGUUGCAAAACUCCCACAAACCAUCGCGAAUCUUACCCGUACGGUUGCCUCGGCGCUGGCGGUCCGGAAGGCCCUCGGGCCCCCGGACCCUCGGGUCUCCCGCUCGCGGGAGGCUGCCCGCCGGAGUGCCGAAACCAAACUCUUGAUAUUUUAUGUCUCUCUGAGUAAACUUUUAAAUAAGUCAAAACUUUCAACAACGGAUCUCUUGGUUCUGGCAUCGAUGAAGAACGCAGCGAAAUGCGAUAAGUAAUGUGAAUUGCAGAAUUCAGUGAAUCAUCGAAUCUUUGAACGCACAUUGCGCUCGCCAGUAUUCUGGCGAGCAUGCCUGUUCGAGCGUCAUUUCAACCAUCAAGCUCUGCUUGCGUUGGGGAUCCGCGGCUGCCCGCGGUCCCUCAAAAACAGUGGCGGGCUCGCUAGUCACACCGAGCGUAGUAACUCUACAUCGCUAUGGUCGUGCGGCGGGUUCUUGCCGUAAAACCCCCAAUUUCUAAGGUUGACCUCGGAUCAGGUAGGAAUACCCGCUGAACUUAAGCAUAUCAAUAA
rnacentral:rRNA from 1 species